GUAAAACAAAAUUUUUAGCUGAGGAGCAUUGUUCUAAAUGUGAAUGGUGACCCGCGCCCUCUAGUGGCUGUCCAGGGAGUUUUUAAAUGUUUUCUCUUUUUAGGACCUUUGCACAGAACUGCCGCAACAUUGAACAUUUAAACCUCAAUGGUUGCACCAAAAUCACUGACAGGUAAGUAACGAGAGUUAGUUCGGUGGCUAAUUGACCAUGCGGAGAGUGAGGGGAGAGAAACAUGGUUGAAAAUAUCUUUAGUGUGUCUGCUCUUUUCCAGCACGUGUUAUAGCCUUAGCAGAUUCUGUUCCAAGCUGAAACAUCUGGAUCUGACUUCCUGUGUGUCUAUUACAAACAGCUCCUUGAAAGGGAUCAGGUAAGAGUGCCCGCUGCCUGGAGAAACACCCUAACCUACGAGCAUCCUGGUGUGUCU
rnacentral:lncRNA from 1 species